AGGGACCUGAGGCUGCGAGGAAUGGUGGGAGUUGAAGUCCAAAACACCUGGAGGAAGGGCCCAAGUGAACCUAGUUGCUUUCUUCUUCCAUGCCCACUGUCCAUUUUUCUCUCUAUGCCCCCUAAAAAGCCUUAAAGGGUCAAAGUUAGCCAUUGAGGCAGGAGUGUCCAGCUCAUUCCCAUUGAUGCCACAUCAGCCUUAAUCAGCCAACGGUUGCCUGCAAAGCGCUGUUUCUUCCAUGGAUGGAGAAUAUGUGGAUAUUGAAGGACAACUAUAACACUAGACAUUUUCCAUUGCUCCAAAGUUGUGCAAUGCUGAGGCUCUGGGAGGACCUUGCAACAGCUGUACCCAAAAACUCUAUUAAAUCUAAAUAAGUG
rnacentral:lncRNA from 11 species